GCUGGGCAUGGUGGUGCAUACCUGUAAUCCCAGCUACUCAGGAGGCUGAGGCAGGAGAAUUGCUUGAACCUGGGAGGCAGAGGUUGCAGUGAGCAGAGAUCAUGCCACUGCACCCCAGCCUGGGAAACAGAGCAAGACUCUGUCUCCA
rnacentral:SRP_RNA from 1 species